ensembl:lncRNA ASNSP1 ASNS pseudogene 1
GAGGCAUGAAGGGAACCAUGGCCGGGAGGCAGAGCUACUCCAGAGAGAAGGCAGCGGCGGCCUGAGCCCCUGUAAAUGUUAUAUAUGUACUUUUUUUACUAUGUGGCAUCGAAGCCUGUGGACAUUUUCCCAGUCCAGAGCCUCUGUUUCGGACAGACUUUCUUCAAUCACACCUGAAUAAAUCACUUAGAGAGAGCUUAUAGCUUCAUUCCACCACGUGUGGCAUUUGGCCCUGUUUGGCAGUGAUGACCGCCUUUCUGUUCAGUGUCUGAGUGCUAUGUAGAUUGCACACAGGGGUCCAGAUGCAUUCUGUUUUGAGAAUGUCAGUGGAUACACCAAUAGCUGCUUUGGAUUUCACCAGAACCGCUGUUUGGAAUGCAGCCAAUUCAAGUGAAGAAAUAUCCAUAUUUGUGGCUCUGUUACAGUGGUGAAAUCUACAACCAUAAGAAGGUCUUGUUACAUUGAAGCACUUCAAGACUCCCUUUUUAAAAGUGGAGCCCUUUCUUCCUGGACACUAUGAAGUUUUUGAUUUAAAGCCAAAUGACCAAGUUGCAUCCGUGGUAAUGGUUAAAUAUCAUCACUGUCGGGAUGAACCCCCACACGUGCUCUAUUACAAUGUGGAGAAACUCUUUCCAGGUUUUGAGACAGAAACUGUGAAGAACAAACUCCGGAUCCUUUUUCAUGAUGCUAUAAAGAGGCGUUUUAUGAUAGACAGGUUGCCUUUUAUCAGAGGGCUUGGACUCCAGCUUGUUGCUGCUACCCUGUUGAAGCAGCUCAAAGAGGCCCAAGUACAGUAUCCUCUCCAGACAUUUGUAAUUGGCAUGGAAGACAGCCCUGAUUUACUGGCUGCUAGAAAGAAUGAGAUAGAAAAACAUCUCCUGAGAGAGACAUUUGAGGACUCCAAUCUGAUACUCAAAGAGAUUCUCUGGUGACCAAAAGAAGUCUUCAGUGAUGGAAUAACUUCAGUUAAGAAUUCCUGGUUUAAGAUUUUACAGAAAUAUGUUGAACAUCAGGUUGAUGAUGCAAUGAUGGCAAAUGCAGCCCAGAAAUUUCCCUUCAAUACUCCUAAAACCAAAGGAUACUACUACCAUCAAAUCCUUGAACACCAUUUCCCAGGCCAGGCUGACUGGCUGAGCCAUUACUGGGUGCCCAAGUGGAUCGAUGCCACUGACCCUUCUGCCCACACACUGACCCACUACAAGUCAGCUGCCAAAGCUUAGGUGCUCUUUAUGCUGUAAUAUGAAAGCAAAUAUUUCUUCUUAUUGUAUGGGGACUAUGGGUAGAUAGGGGAACAAUGAAAGUCAACUCAGGCUAACUUGAAUGUGAAAAAAAUAAAAGUCCUAAAUCUAAAA